GUGCUCACUUCAGCAAAUACACUAAAAUUGAAAUGAUACAGGGAAGAUUAGCAUGGCCCCUGUGCAAGGAUGAUAUUCAAAUUUCUGAAGCAUUCCAUAUUUUU
ensembl:snRNA U6 U6 spliceosomal RNA